rnacentral:rRNA from 1 species
GAUGAACGCUAGCGACAGGCUUAACACAUGCAAGUCGAGGGGCAGCAUGAUUUGUAGCAAUACAGAUUGAUGGCGACCGGCGCACGGGUGAGUAACGCGUAUGCAACUUACCUAUCAGAGGGGGAUAGCCCGGCGAAAGUCGGAUUAAUACCCCAUAAAACAGGGGUCCCGCAUGGGAAUAUUUGUUAAAGAUUCAUCGCUGAUAGAUAGGCAUGCGUUCCAUUAGGCAGUUGGCGGGGUAACGGCCCACCAAACCGACGAUGGAUAGGGGUUCUGAGAGGAAGGUCCCCCACAUUGGUACUGAGACACGGACCAAACUCCUACGGGAGGCAGCAGUGAGGAAUAUUGGUCAAAUGGCCGAGAGGCUGAACCAGCCAAGUCGCGUGAAGGAAGAAGGAUCUAUGGUUUGUAAAACUUCUUUUAAUAGGGGAAUAAAGUGGAGGACGUGUCCUUUUUUGUAUGUACCCUAUGAAUAAGCAUCGGCUAACUCCGUGCCAGCAGCCGACGG